AUGGAAAGCAAUAACCUUCCGAUAACAAUCUGCUCCCAUGGCACGGCAUCAGCCACAGCCACAGUCACACCGCUGUUAAUCCACCUACUGCGCGGCCUCACCGACCACGCGUCUGUAGCCCCCACCCACGGGAAGCUCCUCAAGGUCGGCACGGCCUCCGCCAUCUCUUCUUGCAACCACAUCAUCGCUGCUUACUGCCGAUGCGGCGCCACCGCCCGCGCCCAGGACAUGUUCGAUGGAAUGGCCGAGCGGGACGUCCUCUCCUGGACAGCUCUCAUGUCCAGGUACUCUAGCACCGGCCGACCCUGCCUGGCGGUUUCCCUCUUUUGUGACAUGUCUCACAGAGGUGUGCCACCAAAUGCCUUCACCUUCUCGACUGCCGUCAGCCGUGCGCACGCCUUGCUGAUGCUGGACUUGGCCGGAAAGUGCAUGCCCGUGCUGAGGUUGAGGGCUACGUGCCUGACACUGUCGUUGCCACCGCGCUCAUUGACAUGCGUUGGGUGGCUUGGGGUUGGCAAGUCUUUGCGUGGAACAGUCCUUCGGUUUGGGCAUGGAUGCAAUGGCGUGAUUGUUGUGGCUUUGGUUGACAUGUACUCCAAGUGUGGACUCUACGAGUACUCAAGAAAGAUGCUCGAGAGGACUGAGCAGCCGUCGGUCUUCUGCUAUACCUCCAUCACUGUGGCAGCAGCGAAGGAGGUCAGAUUAACCUGGUUCAGUCACAGGUUUGGCAUAUCAAUGGAUGGAGCUGGAGCACCGAUGCCAUCGUGGAUGGAACUAUGGAAUGAGUGGGAGAUCCAAACUGUUGUUGUUGCCAGCUUCAGUCUGCAGGUUAUCCUCUUCUUCUUUGCUGGGAUCCGCCGCUACAAUGUCUCAUUUGCUCUCAAGGUCCUCCUCUGGCUGGUAUAUCUGCUUGCUGAUGUCGUUGCGACGUUCGCCCUGGGGCACAUGUCCUCGUCCUUAUCGAGUAAAUCGCCUGGCGAGCACCAGCUGGUGGCUUUCUGGGCGCCGUUCCUGCUGCUGCACCUUGGCGGUCAAGACACCAUCACCGCAUACGCCCUGGAGGACAAUGAACUCUGGCUGCGUCACCUGCUAAACAUGUUUGUGCAGGUCGCCUGUACUGCAUAUGUGCUCUACAAGUACAUCAAUGCGGGCGGGGCAACCUUUGUCCAUGCCGCUAUGUUGGUUCUUGCCGCCGGGGUUUUCAAGUAUGGCGAGAGGAUAUGGGCACUGAAGCUUGCAAGCAAGGGUGGUUCCCGUGAGAAAAGAAGGCGACGACCUAAGAGUUUUCGUCGGAGGAUUGAUGAUAUUCGUCCACACGUGUUGCGCCAUGUACUAGUCAAGCCUCUAAUCAUAGACAGGAAUGAGGCGUCCAUAGACUGGAGAGGUCUGAGAAUUGAUCGACUAUCAGCAGAGGAGAAGUACAAGAAAAUAGAGGUGCAGCUCGCCCUGAUGUACGACAUGCUGUACACCAAGGCAGAAGUGAUCCAUAGAGAUGGGUACAGCACACCCGACAUUGUUAUCACUUUUGCUCUUCUGGGCGGAGCUUGUGCACUGGAGAUGGCAUCAGUUUUCAAGGCGAUUGGGUCGACCUGGACAUGUGCCAGCUUGAGACGCCGCAGGUGGAAGUGGCUGGCCAAUGCGAUUCUGUUCGCACGUUACCACCUCCUCGUCCUAGAGGAUGGAAGGUGGUCUGAUUCCGUCGGGCAAUUUGACUUCAUAUCCUUCUGUGUUCACAGCAGAAAGAUGGACCUCAAGGUUAGCAUAGCCCGUUUGAUUGGGCUCCGGGACUUUUGGAACAAAGCUCACUGCACCAAACAUGUCGAGCUUUCUCCUGGCGUGAAGGAGUUUGUAUGGAACUUGCUCAGAGGUGACAAGACUCAUAUGGUUCGAAUUGAAGAAGUAGACAUCCGGAGUGGGAACUGGGCUCGCAGGUUCAGCGGCGUCGCCCAGAUCAAAAAGCUCGGUUGGAGCCUGAGUUAUGGAUUUCACAAGAGUGUGCUUAUCUGGCAUAUAGCAACAAGCACCUUCAUUAAUCACCCUGCCAACUCGGAGCUGGUCGACAAGGACAUGGCUAAAGCAGUGAAUACUCUCUCUGAUUACAUGAUGUACCUCCUCAUCAAGCACCCUGACAUUCUGCCCAUCAAAGCAGCUGCUAAGGACAUGUUUGAGGAAACCUGCCUCUGUUACGGUUUGACUGUGGUAGGCUCGAACAGACCUAAUGUGGUUGUUGAUUCUCACCAGGUAAUUCUGGACUACAAUAAAGGGAGCAGGCAUCUUAAGGACGAACCAAUACAUGCUAACUUGAUGCAACGUCUUAAGUAUAUGGAAGAACUAUAUGGUGACUUGAUGCAUCCCAGAUGGGAUGAUCACCCGGGGGACGCUGUGCUGGUGAAAGCAUGCACUCUUGUUCACACAAUGCUCAACAUGGAGCUGGAGUUGGGCCUCGCACACAAGAUGGCGAUAAUUGGAACGGUGUGGGUGGAGAUGUUGUGCUACACAGCAACCAAUGCAUCCGGGGGAUUCCACGCCAGGCAGCUGAGCAAUGGUGGCGAGUUUCUGACCCACAUACUGCUCUUCACUAAAUAUUCCAAUCCUACAAAAAAGAAACCAGCAAAGCCGUACAUAAAACCUGAUGAAGCUGUGGAAGCUAGUGCUGAUCGCCAGGUCGUAAUAAAUGUGGAGGAUGAUUGCAACGAUGAGAUCUCCGAAAUCCGCCCAAUAUAG
rnacentral:rRNA from 1 species